GAGUGCUAUAGCUCUUUUAGAAUUUGUCCAGCAGGCUUUCUAGUUUUCCCAC
ensembl:snRNA U7 U7 small nuclear RNA